AGGACGAACGCUGGCGGCGUGCUUAACACAUGCAAGUCGAGCGGUAAGGCCCUUUCGGGGGUACACGAGCGGCGAACGGGUGAGUAACACGUGAGCAAUCUGCCCUUCACUUCGGGAUAAGCCUCGGAAACGGGGUCUAAUACCGGAUAUGACUGCGCUACGCAUGU
rnacentral:rRNA from 1 species